UACGUAGGGGGCAAGCGUUGUCCGGAAUCAUUGGGCGUAAAGAGCGUGUAGGCGGUCCGUUAAGUCGGCUGUGAAAGUCCAAGGCUCAACCUUGGGAUGCCGGUCGAUACUGCCGGACUAGAGUUCGGAAGAGGCGAGUGGAAUUCCCGGUGUAGCGGUGAAAUGCGCAGAUAUCGGGAGGAACACCUAUGGCGAAGGCAGCUCGCUGGGACGUUACUGACGCUGAGACGCGAAAGCGUGGGGAGCAAGCAGG
rnacentral:rRNA from 1 species